rnacentral:piRNA from 1 species
UNCCUGGUAGGUUUGAGAGUGAUUGCAGA